AAACUACCAAGUGGGUCAGAAGUGCAGAGAGCAGUUUAGGUGAAAGGCUUAUGGAUCUUCUAAAAUCUAGCGCUUGAAAAUAUGUUAAAAGUUCUUCAGCUGUUUGAGGAACUACUUUAGUAUUUCCCAAAGUAGUGGCUUCCCUCCUUUUUCAAAUGGCCAGUUAAGUCAUUUCACUUUUGCAAUGGGCUAUGUGUGAAGAACAUCAUGAAUCUGCAGGAGCAGGAUGUAAAUUCCUGACUCUUCAGCCUAAUGUGGGGGAGAGGACUUUGGUUUUUUAAACUUCAGCAUUCAGAAGCCACACUCAAACAGACUGUACUGAAUAGAUGACUAAUUUAUCAAGCUUUGCCUGCUAAAAUUUGUAUGCAAUUAAUUGUGCUGGCCCAGGCCUCAGUGCACAACCUGGACAGUGGCUGAUGGGGAAACUCCAUGUGUCUGGGUACUGUAAUAGCUGUUAGGGGGUUAGGUGUGCUGAGAGGUUCUUGACAAAAAAGGAUGGAGGAAGAAAAAUCGCUGUGAGCUGUUUGAGACAAUCUAACCUGAAAAUUAUGGCAAGCCAGGAGUUGGCAGCAAAUAAUAAUGCUCUUAUUUCUCCGACUGAUUUUUACUUCUUCAUGUGAUACAUUCAGGUUAGGAGAGUGGAAGGAAGAAAAACUCAACAACUUUUCCUUGUUUUCCUUUUCUCCUCUCAUUCCUAGCAGCGUGCUGGAUCCCGUAGACCCCUCAUUCUGAGUCACAAUUUCCAGUCUCCAAAACACAUGUAGGCACAAACUACUAUUUAAUCUUCCUAGCUAAAAUAUAAUUAGGAUAAAAAUUUAAUUUAUUCAAAGCUGUGGUUUAAAACCAAGUCUAGAUGUUUCUGGACUACUAUCACUUGUAAUUCUACUGGGUUCAGUGGCAUUACUUCUAACUUACUUUGGUGUAACUGAAACCAGCAUUAGUCCAGUUUCUUUGAUUCAGACAGCCUCCACUGGGUUGUAGAGUACAUUCUGAAUACAGCUGCAACCAGAGCUCAUUAGAUUGCUUUAGAAUUAUCUCCAAUUCAUUCCUGUUGUUCUCCAUCCUGGCAGCAGCCAUUUUUAUCAUCUUUGCUAUUUUCAUGCAAUGACAGACUAUGCAAAAUAUGUAACUGGACUUAACUUUUUAUUCUUUUCCCAUCGCCUUUCCUGUCUGAAUGGCUGAGGUCAGUUUCUGAUUUCUAUUCACUCCUCAGUGAUUUUACUGUUGUAUCCUGGAAGUGUCUGUACUGGUUUACUUUGCACCAUUCGGAGUUGUUUGCUUGAAGCACUGUUAACAGUUUGGAGAGUAUUUGUCUGAGAUCAGAAAGGUUGUGAAAGACAUUGUUGCAACUGUUUUAAAUUAAAAAGAAAUAUUCUCACAUCUUGUGACUGUGUGGAUUCUUGCUUCUUUCUUUCCUGUCUGAACUGAAGAGGAAUAGACUGAGUAUGUUUUGAUGCUGCUUCUUUUCUUGCUCUUUGUGGUCAUGUUUGGUGUUUUACUGAAAAAACCUGCAUAGGGAACAAAGAGAUUUGUGAGAAUCUUGAUUUCUUGUGACUCACGGCACUUCUGUGGAUUGAAAAAAAAAAAAAAAUCCCCAAGCCCUGAGUGGAUAUAAAACAUGACAAAAAUAGAAAAUAGGAUUUAAAUCGAUUGAAUUUUUUGUUUUUAACCUUUAAGCCAGUUGACAUUCUUUGAACAUGAGAGUUGGCAAUGUUCAUGUGGAAGAGUGUUGUCAUUUCACCCCCAAAUUCCUGCUUUAACUUGGUCUGUGGUUCCUCAUACUCAUUUAGAAAUUUCACCUGCUGUUCAGUAAAGGAGAAGUCUUUUUUCCUCAUGUGUAAUGGCUUUACAUAGCAGUGUGACCAUUGGGACUCUUUGGCAGAUGCAAUAGGCCAAAAAAGAAGACUGAGGCAUGGCAACCCUUUCAUCUUUUUAUAGGAUCAUGGGACCAGGAACUGGAGGAGAGGUAAGAGGUAAACCUACCGGGCUAUAAGUGACAUUUCCUGACAUGAAAGUAGAGGACACGUGAAGUGUUGGAUGAUAAGAAAGGUAAAGAUGGUUCAGCUCCUGAAGUCCAAAUUUAAUGAUCUAUCUUGGUUUCUUUUCUAUCACCAGAUGUCCUUUGUGACCAUGGCAAGUCACGCCGCACUGUGUUCACUCCACUUGUAGCAACUGGAAGAGGUGGGAGAAUGUGGCUCUUUGUACAAACUAAAGGGCUGUGUUCAGACUUCAUGCAAGAAUUUCCUGUAUAGGAUUUGUACCUGCUAACUUUUGCCGACUGCUUGUGGAAGGCAGUGUUAGAUCACUGACAAGUUAACACCACCCCAGUCUCUGCUCCCCUUCACUAAAAUGGGAAGGAACACCUCUCUGUCCCUCAGGUGUGCUACAAGCUUAACGUGAAUAAGGGAGGCACUGACAGCUGUGGUGAAAGACGAAUGCCAUAAAAAUACUGAAGACAGAUAGUGCAUGACUGACAGCUGGUGUGGAGUAGGUGUGCAGUUGCAUGAUCUUCAGGAAAAAUUCUCAUCUACUUUUUUUCCCUUUUUCCUCAUAUGGAGUAUAUGCGCAAAAUGGAUUGGGCCAGACCUCAGCUAGUAUAAAUUCCAGUUGACAGUCAGACACUGAGCUGCCUUCAGAGCUAAUGGGCAAGUUUGAAAAGCCUGGCCGUGGUAAGUAAGUGUAGACUGAGACAAUAGUUGUUUCACUGGUUCUGGGAAUCUUUUUCUCUGGUUUGGUGCUAUCUGGUUUAGACUAAAGAAGAAAAUGUGAUGAUCCAAACACACAGCUUCACUGUGAAAGCUGCAUACACUUAGCUUUUUAUUUCUUAAGAGGAUACUAAAACAUGUCUGCAAAAGCUGUUACUACAGAUGUCUGUCAUUAACUAAACACUUGAAGCAAACAUGAAAUCCGCAACACAAAGUGAUUUCUAAGGAUGGGAUUUAAAAAGGGCUCUGCAUUUGGUCUAACCUGUUCCAAAUAACAUGAACAACUCACUUUUGAGUUUGGCAGAUGCAAAGUGCUUUUAAAAUAUCCCACAGAAGAUACCAAUCAGUAGUUUAAAAAUACCCUAUGUGUGGGCCUUCUGCAUGCGUUCUGUAAACAAGUAGCAUUACUGCAUGCUUUGUGAUAAUAUUUCAGUGUGGUUAUUUGUUAACGUAGUUGCAUGCAAUAUUGUCAUGUGAGGUUUUGUGUCAUUUGAACUUCCCCCUCAAUAUUUUUACAAGUACUGUGAUUUAUUGGAUCAUAAGAAAAUACCAUUAGAUGCAGAUAUGUAUAUGUGUUUACCUAAAGAUCAGAUUGAUUCUUCAAACUGACAUAAACCAGUCUAUUGCAGCAAGG